CUGCCGUGGGCGCUGGAGAACUGAGGGGGGCUGCUCCUAGUACGAGAGGACCGGAGUGGACGCAUCACUGGUGUUCGGGUUGUCAUGCCAAUGGCACUGCCCGGUAGCUAAAUGCGGAAGAGAUAAGUGCUGAAAGCAUCUAAGCACGAAACUUGCCCCGAGAUGAGUUCUCCCUGACUCCUUGAGAGUCCUGAAGGAACGUUGAAGACGACGACGUUGAUAGGCCGGGUGUGUAAGCGCAGCGAUGCGUUGAGCUAACCGGUACUAAUGAACCGUGAGGCUUAACCUUACAACGCCGAAGCUGUU
rnacentral:rRNA from 1 species